CCAAAGGCUCUUUUCAGAGCCAUCCAUACUUUCUAAGAAAGAGCUU
rfam:Ailuropoda melanoleuca scaffold2693_8, whole genome shotgun sequence.